rnacentral:rRNA from 1 species
GAUGGACCCGCGUUGGAUUAGCUAGUUGGUGAGGUAACGGCCCACCAAGGCGACGAUCCAUAGCCGACCUGAGAGGGUGACCGGCCACAUUGGGACUGAGACACGGUCCAGACACCUACGGGUGGCAGCAGUCGAGAAUCAUUCACAAUGGGGGAAACCCUGAUGGUGCGACGCCGCGUGGGGGAAUGAAGGUCUUCGGAUUGUAAACCCCUGUCAUGUGGGAGCAAAUUAAAAAGAUAGUACCACAAGAGGAAGAGACGGCUAACUCUGUGCCAGCAGCCGCGGUAAUACAGAGGUCUCAAGCGUUGUUCGGAAUCACUGGGCGUAAAGCGUGCGUAGGCGGUUUCGUAAGUCGUGUGUGAAAGGCGGGGGCUCAACCCCCGGACUGCACAUGAUACUGCGAGACUAGAGUAAUGGAGGGGGAACCGGAAUUCUCGGUGUAGCAGUGAAAUGCGUAGAUAUCGAGAGGAACACUCGUGGCGAAGGCGGGUUCCUGGACAUUAACUGACGCUGAGGCACGAAGGCCAGGGGAGCGAAAGGGAUUAGAUACCCCUGUAGUCCUGGCAGUAAACGGUGCACGCUUGGUGUGCGGGGAAUCGACCCCCUGCGUGCCGGAGCUAACGCGUUAAGCGUGCCGCCUGGGGAGUACGGUCGCAAGAUUAAAACUCAAAGAAAUUGACGGGGACCCGCACAAGCGGUGGAGUAUGUGGCUUAAUUCGAUGCAACGCGAAGAACCUUACCUGGGCUUGACAUGUAAUGAACAACAUGUGAAAGCAUGCGACUCUUCGGAGGCGUUACACAGGUGCUGCAUGGCCGUCGUCAGCUCGUGUCGUGAGAUGUUUGGUUAAGUCCAGCAACGAGCGCAACCCCUGUUGCCAGUUACCAGCACGUAAAGGUGGGGACUCUGGCGAGACUGCCCAGAUCAACUGGGAGGAAGGUGGGGACGACGUCAGGUCAGUAUGGCCCUUAUGCCCAGGGCUGCACACGUACUACAAUGCCCAGUACAGAGGGGGCCGAAGCCGCGAGGCGGAGGAAAUCCUAAAAACUGGGCCCAGUUCGGACUGUAGGCUGCAACCCGCCUACACGAAGCCGGAAUCGCUAGUAAUGGCGCAUCAGCUACGGCGCCGUGAAUACGUUCCCGGGUCUUGCACUCACCGCCCGUCA